CAAUGUACAAUAGCUAUUAAAUAGUUAAUAACUAUUGAAUAGCUACCUAGUUAAAAUAAUUACAAAAUUACCUGUAAAAUAAAUCCUAACCUAAGUUACAAUUAAACCUAACACUACACUAUCAAUAAAUUAAUUAAAUAAACUACCUACAAUUAUCUACAAUUAAACCUAACACUACACUAUCAAUAAAUAAAUUAAAUACAAAUACCUAUAAAUAAAUACAAAUAAAUACACUAACUAAAGUACAAAAAAUAAAAAAAUAACUAAGAAAAAAAAUAAUUUACAAACAUUAUAAAAAUAUACAACAAUUUUAAGCUAAUUACACCUACUCUAAGCCCCCUAAUAAAAUAACAAAGUCCCCCAAAAUAAAAAAGACCUCUUCAGCCCCCGCUUGGAUAAAGACUUCAGCCAGAUGAUGACCUCUUCAGCCUCCGCUUGGAUAAAGACUUCAGCCGGAUGAUGGACCUCUUCAGCCCCGGAUAGGAGGAAGACUUCAGACCCUCUUCUGGACGGAUCGGUGAUACCCGGCGUGGUGAAGACAAGAAAUGCUGUCUCCCUAAAGUCAAAAUGCACAGACCUUGUACCAGAUACCGUGCUGCAUUCCAGACAUCAAUGCUUUAAUAUAUAGGUAAAGAUGCUACAACUCGCAGGACAAUGCUCCAUGCCACUCAGCUGGGUCAAUCAAGGUGUGGAUGGAGGACCACCAGAUCAAGACCCUGCCAUAGCCAGCCCAAUCUCCAGACCUGAACCCCAUUGUAAACCUCUGGAAUGUGAUCAAGAGGAAGAUGGAUGCAUAAAGUCCCCCAUGAAUAAUGUGAAAGACUGGCGGAGAGCAUGCCAAGAUGCAUGAAAACUAUGGUUGAGAAUCUGAACUCUUGCUAAGUUAAAACAUAAGUAUUGUAUUUAAAAAUUAUUAUAAACUUGUUUUCUUUGUAAUAUUUGAGCUCUGAAAACACUGCAUAUUUUUAGUUAUUUUGACCAAUUCUCAUUUUCUGCAAAUAAAUGCUCUAAAUGACAAUAUUUUUAUUUGGAUUUUGGGAGAAAUGUUGUCAGUAUUUUAUAGAAAAAAAAACAAAACCCAAAAAUGAUCAUUUCACUCAAACACAUACCUAUAAAUAAUAAAACCAGAGUAACUGUUAA